rfam:Oryza nivara chromosome 5, whole genome shotgun sequence.
AAAAAGGCAAAUCCUGGAUUUCCGUGUCCAACUUUAACUGUCCGUCUUAUAUGAAUUUUUUUUUUAUAAUUCGUAUUUUCAUUGUUGUUAGAUGAUAAAACAUGAUUAAUAUUUUAUACGUGACUUGUCUUUUUAAAUUUUUUCAUAAUUUUUUCAAAUAAGACGGACGGUCAAACGUUGGGCAUGGAAAUCAGGGUUUGUCUUUUU